rnacentral:tRNA from 1 species
UGAGAAUUAGCCAAGUUGGUAAGGCAUUACUUUUUGGUAGUAAUAAACGAAGGUUCGAGUCCUUCAUUCUCAU